GAUGAACGCUAGCGGCAGGCCUAAUACAUGCAAGUCGAACGGUGUCUUCGGACAUAGUGGCGCACGGGUGCGUAACACGUAUGCAACCUACCUUACAUUGGGGGAUAGCCUUUCGAAAGGGAGAUUAAUACCGCAUAAGACAGUAGCUGGGCAUCCAGCAGCUGUUAAGGAUUUAUCGAUGUAAGCUGGGCAUGCGUCCAAUUAGCUAGUUGGUGAGGUAACGGCUCACCAAGGCAAUGAUUGGUAGGGGAACUGAGAGGUCAAUCCCCCACACUGGCACUGAGAUACGGGCCAGACUCCUACGGGAGGCAGCAGUAGGGAAUAUUGGGCAAUGGACGCAAGUCUGACCCAGCCAUGCCGCGUGCAGGAUGAAGGCGUUAUGCGUUGUAAACUGCUUUUAUACAGGAAGAAACGACUCUUGCGAGAGGCAUUGACGGUACUGUAUGAAUAAGCACCGGCUAACUCCGUGCCGGCCGCCGCCGUAA
rnacentral:rRNA from 1 species